ACGAGCUUCCGUUGAAUGACGUGCUUGCACUGAUUUCAACAAUGAAGCGAGUGGCGAACUGGUGAGUAACACGUGGGAAAUCUGCCCAGAAGCAGGGGAUAACACUUGGAAACAGGUGCUAAUACCGUAUAACAACAAAAUCCGCAUGGAUUUUGUUUGAAAGGUGGCUUCGGCUAUCACUUCUGGAUGAUCCCGCGGCGUAUUAGUUAGUUGGUGAGGUAAAGGCCCACCAAGACGAUGAUACGUAGCCGACCUGAGAGGGUAAUCGGCCACAUUGGGACUGAGACACGGCCCAAACUCCUACGGGAGGCAGCAGUAGGGAAUCUUCCACAAUGGACGAAAGUCUGAUGGAGCAAUGCCGCGUGAGUGAAGAAGGGUUUCGGCUCGUAAAACUCUGUUGUUAAAGAAGAACACCUUUGAGAGUAACUGUUCAAGGGUUGACGGUAUUUAACCAGAAAGCCACGGCUAACUACGUGCCAGCAGCCGCGGUAAUACGUAGGUGGCAAGCGUUGUCCGGAUUUAUUGGGCGUAAAGCGAGCGCAGGCGGUUUUUUAAGUCUGAUGUGAAAGCCUUCGGCUUAACCGGAGAAGUGCAUCGGAAACUGGGAGACUUGAGUGCAGAAGAGGACAGUGGAACUCCAUGUGUAGCGGUGGAAUGCGUAGAUAUAUGGAAGAACACCAGUGGCGAAGGCGGCUGUCUAGUCUGUAACUGACGCUGAGGCUCGAAAGCAUGGGUAGCGAACAGGAUUAGAUACCCUGGUAGUCCAUGCCGUAAACGAUGAGUGCUAAGUGUUGGAGGGUUUCCGCCCUUCAGUGCUGCAGCUAACGCAUUAAGCACUCCGCCUGGGGAGUACGACCGCAAGGUUGAAACUCAAAGGAAUUGACGGGGGCCCGCACAAGCGGUGGAGCAUGUGGUUUAAUUCGAAGCUACGCGAAGAACCUUACCAGGUCUUGACAUCUUCUGCCAAUCUUAGAGAUAAGACGUUCCCUUCGGGGACAGAAUGACAGGUGGUGCAUGGUUGUCGUCAGCUCGUGUC
rnacentral:rRNA from 2 species